AUUGAACGCUGGCGGCAGGCCUAACACAUGCAAGUCGAGCGAGAGGCGGACGGGUGAGUAAUGUAUGGGGACUGCCCGAUAGAGGGGGAUAACUACUGGAAACGGUGGCUAAUACCGCAUAAUAUCGGAUAUCCCAUAUUGGAUUAGCUAGUAGGUGGGGUAACGGCUAACCUAGGCGACGAUCUCUAGCUGGUCGGAGAGGAUGACAAGACACACUGUGACUUAGACACGGUCCAGACGCGUACGGAGGCAGCAGUGGGGAAUAUUGCGCAAUGGGCGCAAGCCUGAUGCAGCCAUGCCGCGUGUAUGAAGAAGGCCUUAGGGUUGUAAAGUACUUUCAGCGGGGAGGCGUUACCCGCAGAAGAAGCACCGGCUAACUCCGUGCCAGCAGCCGCGGUAAUAC
rnacentral:rRNA from 1 species